rnacentral:rRNA from 1 species
CCUACGGGUGGCAGCAGUGGGGAAUAUUGCGCAAUGGGCGAAAGCCUGACGCAGCGACGCCGCGUGAGGGAUGAAGGUCUUCGGAUCGUAAACCUCUGUCAGCAGGGAAGAACGGUCACUGGGCUAAUCAGCAGUGAAGUGACGGUACCUGCAAAGGAAGCACCGGCUAACUCCGUGCCAGCAGCCGCGGUAAUACGGAGGGUGCGAGCGUUAAUCGGAAUUACUGGGCGUAAAGCGCUCGUAGGCGGGAUGUCACGGCAAGGGUGAAAUCCCCGCGCUCAACUUGGGAACUGCCUUUGAAACUGGCAAACUGGAGUGUGUGCGAGGCUCGUGGCAUUCCAGGUGU